rnacentral:siRNA from 1 species
UUAAUUGUCGUCGAUCACUCUACC